rnacentral:rRNA from 1 species
AACGAACGCUGGCGGCAGGCUUAACACAUGCAAGUCGAACGCCCCGCAAGGGGAGUGGCAGACGGGUGAGUAACGCGUGGGAAUCUACCCAGUUCUACGGAAUAACCCAGGGAAACUUGGACUAAUACCGUAUACGCCCUACGGGGGAAAGAUUUAUCGGAAUUGGAUGAGCCCGCGUUGGAUUAGCUAGUUGGUGGGGUAAUGGCCUACCAAGGCGACGAUCCAUAGCUGGUCUGAGAGGAUGAUCAGCCACACUGGGACUGAGACACGGCCCAGACUCCUACGGGAGGCAGCAGUGGGGAAUAUUGGACAAUGGGCGCAAGCCUGAUCCAGCCAUGCCGCGUGAGUGAUGAAGGCCUUAGGGUUGUAAAGCUCUUUCAGUGGGGACGAUAAUGACGGUACCCACAGAAGAAGCCCCGGCUAACUUCGUGCCAGCAGCCGCAGUAAUAC